rnacentral:rRNA from 1 species
GACGAACCGUGCGAACGUUAUUCGGAAUCACUGGGCGUAAAGGGUGCGUAGGCGGGUCUUUAAGUCAGGGGUGAAAUCCUGGAGCUCAACUCCAGAACUGCCUUUGAUACUGAAGAUCUUGAGUUCGGGAGAGGUGAGUGGAACUGCGAGUGUAGUGGUGAAAUUCGUAGAUAUUCGCAAGAACACCAGUGGCGAAGGCGGCUCACUGGCCCGAUACUGACGCUGAGGCACGAAAGCGUGGGGAGCAAACAGG